rnacentral:rRNA from 1 species
UACGAAGGGGGGCUAGCGUUGCUCGGAAUUACUGGGCGUAAAGCGCACGUAGGCGGCCAUUCAAGUCAGGCGUGAAAGCCCCCGGGCUUAACCUGGGAGGUGCGCUUGGGACUGGGUGGCUAGAGAUCGGGAGAGGAGAGUGGAAUUCCCAGUGUAGAGGUGAAAAUUCGUAGAUAUUGGGGAAGAACACCGGUGGCGAAGGCGGCUCUCUGGACCGAUACUGACGCUGAGGAGCGAAAAGCGUGGGGGAGCGAACAGG